UACCUCUCAGGGUCACAACUGGAGAGUUUCCAGUACUCUCCUAGUCUCGACUAUGGAGGGAGAGUCAAGCAGAGGCUUGUCCAUUCCAUUCCUAGCGUGGGCAGUGGCUAGCGAAUGGAAAGCAAUCUGCUUCAAGU